rnacentral:lncRNA from 1 species
AGAAUGACAUGAUCUUCCAGGUACAUUGAACAGUUCUAACGAUAUUCUCAAAAGAUUUUCAGGUUGUGAUAUUAAAAUAAAUUUUCAAAAGUUCUUAGUUUGAAUGUACCUCAGUUAAUAUUUCCGUUUCUAGAUAAUCACAUGAAAAGUUAGGCUGUCAUAUGUACGUGUCCAGAAUGCUGGGAGAUCGAACCGUUCUCCAUUACACUUUGUUCAAUUCACCGACUGACAGAUUCAUACAAAACUACUGCCGUUGUAAGAGAAAGCGCAGCCUAAAUGCUAGAGUGUUAGGUUCGAUUCUCAAAUUGGAUAGUGGGCUGUGUUCAUGAGCAAAGCACUUUAUUUCACGGAUAACUUCUGGAUAACUUCCUGUCUCAUUAACCUGAAGUUUCGAGGCAGGCACACUGUUAUUAAGAGUCCUACCGAUCAAGGCUACAAUGAAUAUAACUUCACUGAAGGAUGGACAAACAGUUUUCAACAGUAUAAUUGCAAUAGAGAAAAAUAUAAUUGUUAUUUCUUUAUUGCCCACAAGGGGCUAAACAUAGAGGGGACAAACAAGGACAGACAAACGGAAUAAGUCGAUUACAUCGACCUCAGUGCGUAACUGGUACUUAA